rnacentral:rRNA from 1 species
AUUGAACGCUGGCGGCAGGCCUAACACAUGCAAGUCGAACGGUAGCACAGAGAGCUAGCUCUCGGGUGACGAGUGGCGGACGGGUGAGUAAUGUCUGGGAAACUGCCCGAUGGAGGGGGAUAACUACUGGAAACGGUAGCUAAUACCGCAUAACGUCGCAAGACCAAAGUGGGGGACCUUCGGGCCUCACACCAUCGGAUGUGCCCAGAUGGGAUUAGCUAGUAGGUGGGGUAAUGGCUCACCUAGGCGACGAUCCCUAGCUGGUCCGAGAGGAUGACCAGCCACACUGGAACUGAGACACGGUCCAGACUCCUACGGGAGGCAGCAGUGGGGAAUAUUGCACAAUGGGCGCAAGCCUGAUGCAGCCAUGCCGCGUGUAUGAAGAAGGCCUUCGGGUUGUAAAGUACUUUCAGCGGGGAGGAAGGCGGUGAAGUUAAUAACUUCACCGAUUGAUGUUACCCGCAGAAGAAGCACCGGCUAACUCCGUGCCAGCCGCCGCCGUAA